GACGAACGCUGGCGGCGUGCUUAACACAUGCAAGUCGAACGAUGAACCCGGAGCUUGCUCCGGCGGAUUAGUGGCGAACGGGUGAGUAACACGUGAGUAACCUGCCCUUGGCUCUGGGAUAACUGCGGGAAACUGUAGCUAAUACCGGAUACGACCCUCGGCGGCAUCGCCAGGGGGUGGAAAGAAUUUCGGUCAAGGAUGGACUCGCGGCCUAUCAGCUAGUUGGUGAGGUAACGGCUCACCAAGGCGACGACGGGUAGCCGGCCUGAGAGGGUGACCGGCCACGAUGGGACUGAGACACGGCCCAGACUCCUACGGGAGGCAGCAGUGGGGAAUAUUGCACAAUGGGCGCAAGCCUGAUGCAGCAACGCCGCGUGGGGGAUGACGGCCUUCGGGUUGUAAACCUCUUUUAGUAGGGAAGAAGCGAAAGUGACGGUACCUGCAGAAAAAGCACCGGCUAACUACGUGCCAGCCGCCGCCGUAA
rnacentral:rRNA from 1 species